CCUACCUUCAUCCAAUAGGACGAUAAGAUUAAAAUUGUUUGCCUAUGAUAAGUAAGGGCAUCUUCAUGGUUGUUACGAAGAAGGUACUAAUCCUAUGUGGAAGAGAGAGAGAUCAGAAAAGCAGAAGUAACAACCUAUGCACAUAUGGGUCCACCGGAAUAAAUAAGAGAAUAGAAAAAGAGGGUGUCAUAUGGGUCCACCGGAAUAAAGAAGAGAAUAAAAAAAAGUAAUAGGAGAGGGAAGACAUGGACACAUUAUGGCUG
rnacentral:lncRNA from 1 species